rnacentral:rRNA from 1 species
GGGGAGGUAGUGACGAAAAAUAACAAUACAGGACUCAUAUCCGAGGCCCUGUAAUUGGAAUGAGUACACUUUAAAUCCGUUAACAAGGACCUAUUGGAGGGCAAGUCUGGUGCCAGCAGCUGCGGUAAUUCCAGCUCCAAUAGCGUAUAUUAAAGUUGUUGCGGUUAAAACGUUCGUAGUUGAAUUUGUGCUCCAUACGGGUAGUACACCUAAAAUAUUGGUUUGUACGUUACCUUUUAGUUAUGCGAGCGUAUUAUCGGUGGAGUAUAUUAUGUUUUAAAAUUCCUAUUAUGGUUUUUUUUAACUAAUAACUCCUAUAUAAACCUGCUAUAAUGCUCUUUACCGGGUGUUGUAGUGGGCCGAUACAAUUACUUUGAACAAAUUAGAGUGCUUAAAGCAGGCUCCAAAUGCCUGAAUAUUUUGUGCAUGGAAUAAUGGAAUAAGACCUCUGUUCUACUUUCAUUGGUUUUUAGAUCAAGAGGUAAUGAUUAAUAGAAGCAGUUGGGGGCAUUAGUAUUACGACGCGAGAGGUGAAAUUCUUGGACCGUCGUAAGACUAACUUAAGCGAAAGCAUUUGCCAAAGAUGUUUUCAUUAAUCAAGAACGAAAGUUAGAGGUUCGAAGGCGAUCAGAUACCGCCCUAGUUCUAACCAUAAACGAUGCCAGCUAGCAAUUGGGUGUAGCUACUACUAUGGCUCUCUCAGUCGCUUCCCGGGAAACCAAAGCUUUUGGGCUCCGGGGGAAGUAUGGUUGCAAAGCUGAAACUUAAAGGAAUUGACGGAAGGGCACCACCAGGAGUGGAGCCUGCGGCUUAAUUUGACUCAACACGGGUAAACUUACCAGGUCCGAACAUAAAUGAGUAAGACAGAUUGAUAGCUCUUUCUCGAAUCUAUGGGUGGUGGUGCAUGGCCGUUCUUAGUUCGUGGAGUGAUUUGUCUGGUUAAUUCCGAUAACGAACGAGACUCAAAUAUAUUAAAUAGAUGCAUUCAGGAUUAUGAUGUUUGAAACUUAACAUAUCCUUCUUGCAUGAAUAUAGUAAUAUAUGAUUGUUUGAAGUGUUUAUGUAAGUGGAGUCGUACCUGUUUGUUUGUCCCAUUAAUACGGACACUAGCUUCUUAAAUGGACAAAUUGCGUCUAGCAAUAAUGAGAUUGAGCAAUAACAGGUCUGUGAUGCCCUUAGAUGUCCUGGGCUGCACGCGCGCUACAAUGAAAGUAUCAACGUGUAUUUCCUAGACCGAGAGGUCCGGGUAAACCGCUGAAUCACUUUCAUGUUUGGGAUUGUGAACUGAAACUGUUCACAUGAACCUGGAAUUCCCAGUAAGUGCGAGUCAUUAACUCGCAUUGAUUACGUCCCUGCCCUUUGUACACACCGCCCGUCGCUACUACCGAUUGAAUUAUUUAGUGAGGUCUCCGGACGUGAUCACUGUGACGCCUCGUGUGUUGCGGAUGUUUCGCAAAAGUUGACCGAACUUGAUUAUUUAGAGGAAGUAAAAGUCGUAACAA